UUCUACAUUUUCUAGCAAAUCUGUUACAACAAGUUUUGCAGGUGCAGUAAUCCAUGACCCUGACUGUUGCAAUUGAAAUGAGCUUUGCUGAAAGUACUUGGUCUGAUAAUUAGAAACAUACUGUAUGUUGCAGAUAGCCAUUUUCUUUAUUUUUCCUGAAAUAUUAUUAUUCCAGUCCUGUAUUCAGUUUGGUUUCAUUGAAACAAAAGCUUACGACCCACCACAGUUGCUGCAAUGACUUUCUGAAGAUGAGCAGAGGGCCAGUAUCUUUAGGCUUGGUGUGAUCUUAAAUUUCUGCACUGUGCAUGUGAAUUAUUCUGAUAGUGACCAGUCCACACAUGAGAAUGGAAUGAAUCGGAUUUGUAGUCAGUCCUCCUGUAUUACUAAGAAACCCUCAGCUUUAGGUCUUUAGGACUAUAGACUGAGGAAUCUUUUGCCUUUGGGUUAAAAGUUAACCACUUUACUGGUAAGGAACGCAAUAACCAACACAUCAGUAGAGUGGCUUGACUGCUACUACGUUCAAGGCAUCUUAAAUAUUCCUUUAAUAGUUUUGUGAAUACUAGGUGGAGAUAAGCUAACAGAAGGACUGAUGAGGCCUUUUAAUGUACAGAAACAAUUCGAAGUACUUGUUUUUAUUGGUAAGGGCUUUAAUAAUAUAUUUAAAUUUAUAAAGUAACAUGGUUUUGGGAGAAGGAAAUAACCAGGCAUUUAAGUCCACAGGUCUCUUCAUCACUGCUCAGAAAACGAAAGUGUCAAUACAAUAUUCACAUCUAGGUUAAGCCUUCAUUUUCUAAAAUUGUUCAAGAGUCUGUCCUAACUAAAUCAGUAGACUAGUCUGUAAGAUUAGAAAAAGUUUCAGGGUUUUCAUUGAGCUGCUAGCUUUACUAGUUUCCGUCAGUUUCACAGGCUUAAGCAGAGUCUGCAUGUGUCAUAAUCGUUGAUUAUGUAAUUGCUGAUGCGUGGUAAUGUGAAGUGUGAGUUUUUGAAUAUGAGGACUGACCACCUCGUCCUCAUGGCUCCUGACAACAACACAGAAGAAAUUUGAGAAACUACUAAAUCAAGAUGAGUCUGGUACCAGGAAUGGAGUUAAAUGAAGCAACUGCCCGAAGUCAAGAUCUGAUUCCCUGUACAACCUGUGGAAGACGCUUCGCCCAAGAUGUCCUGCUGAGACACAAUCCAAUAUGCAAGAAAGUCUUCAACAAGAAGCGCAAGCCCUUCAACUCUUCGAAACAGAGACUGCAGGGAACAGAAAUCACCACUGUGAGGAGGCAGCUCCCACAAAAGAAUCAGCCACAGAAAAAAUCUAACUGGAGGCAGCACCAUGAGGAUUUUAUUAAUGCUAUUAGAUCAGCCAAGCAAGUCACAAAAGCUCUGAAGGAGGGCCGCCCCCUUCCACCUCCUCCACCACCAAGCAUCAAUCCAGACUAUAUUCAGUGCCCACACUGCUCAAGAAGAUUUAAUGAGGCUGCAGCACAGAGGCACAUAAAGUUUUGUGAAGAACAAGCUAUCCGCCGUGCCUUCGCCGCUAAGACCACCAGACAGGCUUUGGUAAGGCAACACAGUCACACUUGUCUUGUCCUGGAGGCAGAUUUGCCAAUCUGUAAUUUAUGGGCAAGCAACCAGUGGCUCAGAGGAAACCCCCAACCUUAACACCUACUGUGUUAUCACUUCAGAAGAGAGUACAAGAAGGUGCCCAUACAGACAAACCUAAGCCAGAGACCUCUCCAGGAAUACUGCAGAAAACCAGAAAAGCUUCAGAUGUACCUCCUGGAAAAAAGGCUUCAGGAGAGUCUGGCUACAGGACAAACUGUUGACAGUACCCAGUGGUCUCAUCUGGUGUUCUCCACUCCCCAGAUCGCAAAUGAGCAACAGAAGAUAACAGUGGCUGGUCUGCAAGGCUGUGUUAUGGUUUUCUUCUGAAGCACUACAGAAGACCUUAAACAACACAAUUUUCCAGCACCUCUUCCACCCCAAGUGCUACAGCUGCCACAUUCAAUAAAAUAAGCAAACUGAAAUCCACCAUUUUUCCCCUUGAUCCCCUGUUUACUUGUGUCAGCUGCCAAAAUUUAAUUAAAUGAUUGCGUCUGUGGGGAUGGAUGUUGCCCAUGGUUCAUUCAAUGCUUUUAACAAAAUGUAGGAAGAUCCAGAAUCAUAUGACUUUUUCCCCUAAUGUUUUGCUUGAUACAUUGAACAAAAUGAAGGAACAUUUUUUGAAUUUUGUGUAUAUAUUUAAUAGAAUCUCCCAGUAAACAACAAAUGAUAGUGAUUUGUAAGUGAUAAAUGCCAUGUAUGCUGUGCAUCAGCUUCAAAGCACUUCAAGUGCAGACUAAAACCAAAUCUCAUUCUUAUCACAGAAACAUAGAAUGGUUUGGGUUGGAAGGGACAUUCAAAGGUCAUCUAGUCCAACUCCCCCUGCCAUGAGCAGGGACAUCUUCAACCAGAUCAGGUUUCUCAGAGCCCUGUCCAGCCUGGCCUGGGAUGUCUCCAGGGAUGGGGCAUCUACCACCUCUCUGGGCAACCUGGGCCAGUGUUUCACCACCCUCAGUGGUGAAAUUUCUUCCUCAUAUCCAGCCUGCAUCUCCCCUCUGUUAAUUUAAAACCAUUACCCCUCAUCCUAUCACAACAGGUCCUGCUAAAAUGUUUCUCCCCAUCUUUCUUGUCAGCCCCUUUAGGUUCUAGAGGUCUGCAAUAAGGUCUUCCCAGACCCUUCUCCAGGCUGAACAACCCCUUUCAGCCUGUCCUCAUAGGAGAGAUGCUCCAGCCUUCUGCUCAUGGCCGUUCUUCAGAGUCAGCUCUUCACACUCCAUCCACCUCUUGAUGUAGCCAGCCACCCCUCCACCCUUCCUUCCUCACCUGUGCUUUCUGAACAGCCUGUAGCCAUCGAUCACUGCACUCCAGUCAUGGGAUUUGUCCCACCAAGUUUCAAUAAUGGCAACCAAGUCGUAGCUUUCUAGCAGCAUGGUGGCUUCCAACUCCUCCUGUUUGUUUCCUAUGCUGUGUGCAUUGGUGUAGAGGCACUUCAGCUGAGCUGUUGGUCACGUCACCUUCUUAGAGGAACACCCCUUAGUUCCUUUGAGUUAUUUCAUUGGUGUUUCCUUGUUGGCUUGUAUUACUCUCCCACUAAAAACCUCAAUUGCUUUUACAAAUUGAUGGCUAAGAUAGAAAUAUUGUGGAGGCGUAUCCUUUUCUUAUUUUUUUGGCCAUCUGAUUUAUUACCUUGGAUCACUUUGCAUAAACUUUCAAUGUUGCACUAUGUUGGGGUUGUUUGUUUGAUUUUUUUGAUUUUUUUUUUUUUUUAGCUCAACAAAUCUUUCAAUUAUAAUCCAUACGGAAUGUUCUUGCAUAGUAAAUGUUUAUAGAGUAAAUGAAGAUGAAAAGUAGUUGGAAACAGCAAUAAUAAAUAUCAGACUUUACAAAGUGUAAUUAAACUCUACUCUAGGCUGUAGCUAAUGGUGUUUAGAUAUAGAAAGGAUAACACUGAAGCAAGUGUAACUCCUACAGCUAGACUGUCUUAGAAACAAUGCACAUAAAAUCAGCCCAAAUAUAUUAAAAUGGAGCUUAUUGGCCUUUUUUUCAAACCAGGAAGGAGGUCCAGGGCAGGGGCAGGAGGGAGAACCAAACCAACCCCAUGCCAAACUGUCUUGUUCAAUGUUAUCACAGCUGUUUUCUUUUAUACCUUAGUAAAUGAACCCUCAAAAGUUAAAGCAAAUGUUGUGUUUGGGGUCCCCCCCCUUAUUUCUCUGUGUGUAGAGCUGUUUGGUAUGGAUUCAACAGUUCAUUUUUCAGUGCCCUACAGAAAACAUAACUAUAGGGACAGGAAUGAUGUAUUCAAGAAGAGUACUUUAAAAUUCUGCUAGCAGAAAAAUGAAUCAGUCAUUAAUAUAUGGAACUUACCAUCCUAUUUUAGACUGGCUGGGAAAAAACUCUUGAAAAUUAGCAACAACUCAUUGGUUAAGAAAAUAGAGAGUCCCAACAGGAACAGUCGGUAAAUAAAACCAAAGUAAAAUUAAAUGAAACAUGGCUUCUGAUAGGGGGUGGGAACAGUGCAGGAGUGUAGUUUUAGCUCCUCAACAUUUUUUCAGCAGGUUUACAUGAUUUCUUU